CGACGACGUCGGCGUCAACAGAGGUGGAAUAAGUUGAAAAACCAAAAGCUGCACAUACACACACAGAUAUACACACACAUACACACGGAUAGAUACAUAAUACUUCUGUACAAGCACGCAAUGCAUGCACUGAGCGCGUGCACUGAGAUACACAUACAAACAAUAUUUGUUCUAGAUUCUUGGAUACCUAAAAUUGCUAAUUUUAUUGGAAUAUGCAAAAUCAAGCACAAACCAUGGAAAAUAUUAUUCAAUGUAAAUAUUAGCAGCCCUAUCUUUUGUAAGGCUUGCACUACAUAAUUAAAUAUCAGCUAAGUAUGUUUUGAACCCAACAAUUUUUGUCAGUGUAGCCAGAAUGUUGUUGUUUAUCUUUUGUUUAUAUUCAUUUGUAUGUAUAUACAUGUAUUCGUUAAUCGAAUUAAAAACUGUGAACAAAACAAAUGCGAGUCGGUUCGUAAACAUAUUCAAAGUAAAAAUCAAAAACAAACUCUAUACUAUAUUCUAUUUACUAUACAUAUAUGAUAAAUAUAUUUAUCGGGGUAAACGGCAGAUUUAUGGCCAAAACAAAUAUAAACAGAACUGCGACGCGUGCUGAUGUUGUCAACCGGCCCUCAACUUUUAUAUUUUCGAAAUGUUCUAUAUUUUUGAAAAUAUACUAAUGAAAUAAGAAAAACAUCUUACAAAAAAAAAAACAGUGAAUUAGUCACGUUCCAAGUCGCUGCGUGUGGCAUUACGUAGUAAGAAAGCUAUUGAGAUAGUAAACUACUCAUUGAUUAUUUUUAUUUACAAUUAAAGAUUUGUUAUUUAUUGUUUGUUUCAACUCAAAACAAAUAAACAACUUUGUACAUACACAAUCGCAUCGAUUAUAUACGCACACAAACUUACACAUGUACAUACCCACACUUAUCUAAGUGUGUGCGCUUUUUGUUUGCUAAAGCGAGCAAGAGAGAUGUUUGAAUGGAAAUGAGGGUCAACACCAGUACUACCACAACAACAACAACAAGCACAACAACAGCCAACAAACAUCUCUUGUUUUGGUUCUCAAUCUCACCCUCAACUCCGCUUGGCUGUGAAAAAGCGCAUUGGCCGUUGGCCGCAAGCUACUCAAGUUAUGGAAUUGGUGCGCUAAAAACAGAAUGCGGAGAUAGAAAACGCAAUGCACAUACAUGUACAUAAAACAGACACAUACAUACGCACAUCUUUUGUACGUAAAGCUGUCUUUGUUCUUUGUUGCCAAACAUGAAUUUACGCCUUAAUAUCUUCGCAUCCUGAUAAUAAAAAUUUCAGAAAUCA